rnacentral:tRNA from 1 species
GGGGCUGUCGUCUAACCAGGUUAGGACGGCUGGCUCCAGACCAGCUGAUCUGGGUUCAAAUCCCAGCAGCCCCA